UACGAAGGGGGCUAGCGUUACUCGGAUUGACUGGGCGUAAAGGCGCGUAGGCGGAUGGUACAGUCAGACGUGAAAUCCCUGGGCUCAACCCAGGAACUGCGUCCGAUACUGGUUGGCUUGAAUCCGGGAGAGGGAUGUGGAAUUCCAGGUGUAGCGGUGAAAUGCGUAGAUAUCUGGAGGAACACCGGUGGCGAAGGCGACAUCCUGGACCGGUAUUGACGCUGAGGCGCGAAAGCCAGGGGAGCAAACGGG
rnacentral:rRNA from 1 species